rnacentral:rRNA from 1 species
UGGGGAAUCUUGGACAAUGGGCGCAAGCCUGAUCCAGCCAUGCCGCGUGAGUGAUGAAGGCCUUAGGGUUGUAAAGCUCUUUUGGCGGGGACGAUAAUGACGGUACCCGCAGAAUAAGUCCCGGCUAACUUCGUGCCAGCAGCCGCGGUAAUACGAAGGGGACUAGCGUUGUUCGGAAUCACUGGGCGUAAAGCGCACGUAGGCGGAUUUGUCAGUCAGGGGUGAAAUCCCGGAGCUCAACUUCGGAACUGCCCUUGAUACAGCACGUCUUGAGUCCGAUAGAGGUGGGUGGAAUUCCUAGUGUAGAGGUGAAAUUCGUAGAUAUUAGGAAGAACACCGGUGGCGAAGGCGGCCCACUGGAUCGGUACUGACGCUGAGGUGCGAAAGCGUGGGGAGCAAACAGGAUUAGAUACCCCGGUAGUCCCUGAGCGGGCUGGCAAGGCGCAU